rnacentral:lncRNA from 1 species
UCUGAAUCCCAGGCUCUAAGCUACUUAAUCUCUCUGAAGCUCUCAUUUGUAUAAUGGGGGAUUAGGACUCACCUUGGAGGAUUACUUUGAGGGUUAAAUAUGCGUUUGUGGAGCACCUAUUGGUUACCGGGGCGUAGCGUGAACCCUGGUGCCUCUUCUCCAGGGCAGCGUCGAGGGUACUCUGGAAAAGAGCGGGCAGCGAGCGGUCCUCCCAAGGUAUUGUUCUUGCAGAUUCAAAGACCAACCCACAGCUGGACAGCUCGGCUCUAACACCUUCCAACAUCUCCCUUUCAUCCAGUGAAAAUCUGUUCCUUGGAAUUCCACUCAUCCUUCCUGCUUCUUCUCUGGGAUCUCUCCAAACACGUCUAGUUUAUCUCCCACAACUGAAAUCAUCGCACAUCAGUAAACACUUUAUCAACGGCUCUCUAAAAGGGUACUGUCCAAGCCAGAAGUCAGCCUACAUGUGAUCAGGAUAGAACAGGAUGAUCACCCACUUCUUCCUUCUCCAGUUCUCCAUUC